UGAACAAGGACACCUACAGCUUGAUCAGGUUCGCAGAGCCCUGUCCAGCCUGACCUUGAGUGUCUCCAGGGACUGAGUACCCAUCAAGUCUCUGUGCAACUUGUGCCAGUGCUUCAUUCUCUUAUUGCAAAAAGUAAUAUAUAAUAUCCAGUCUAAAUUUCCCCUCUUUAGGAGACACAGUGCUAGCCCUGUGGUGACAUCCACUCCCCUUGGCCUCUCUCACCACUGGCUCUCAUCCAAACUCCAGUUUCUAGGCCACCAGCUACAGCUGGGUUUUACUGGAGUGGUUUGUCAUUGCAAAGAAGCAUCUUCUCCCAAGGACAUCCUCCUGUUUUGCUCAGGACAGUGUCUAGCUGGACCACCAAUGUGGUAUAAAACAGUGAAAAUACAGGAGCCAGUAAAGGAUGCUAAAUGAGUAAAAAUAAGUCACUUUUGCUGGAAGCUGAUAUAUUUUAAGCAUAGGUCUUCCCAGUCAGUGCACCCAAAUGGAUGUUGGCAGCUGAACAGAUGUUUAAAACAGAUUUGAGUUGUUUCUUCUGACAACUGUGCUCUAUCCCCGGUGCGUGUGUCAUCUUCUACUUUAAGUGUUCAGAGUAUGCUUUUAGCACCCACAUGCAGCCAUGGGAAAUGCCAUUAAGAUCAUUAAACCUCUGUUCUUCUAGUUACCACAAGAAUGACAGCUAGGAAUGCAACUGGAGCUCUGGAGAAAAAGGUUAUUCCUGAAGGUCUCUGACAACAUGUCCAUUCAGUGGCACAGGCUGCCACUUACACAGCACCAAUUUUUCACAGCAGCUUCACUGCUUCUAACAGAGUGUGGAGGCUGAGGGUCAAUCAAAGAAGGAUUUUUGAUCCUGAAAAUGAUGCUUUGUUCCUGUGUUCAAAUCUUGGUCUUCUUGAGCCCCGGGCAACAAAUUAUGAGUCUGGUCACUUUCUCAAAUGCACUCUUUUACUGUGUGUCAUAAAAUUUUGCAAUUUUAAAAAUUUCUCUCAGGGGUUACUACUGCAGGCCUGCUGUUUGCUGAUUUUCAGACAACGUAUCAAUCAGUGUUUGUCCACCUUCAAAAGCAGAGAUAUCCGAAUGAUAAGAGCAUUCAUAACCACAGGGAGGUCCUCAUGAGAGCUGCAAAAACACAUUGGAGGUCUGAACUUCCCAGUGGCAAUACUUCAAUUAUAUCAGUGUUUUAUCAGUCCCAUUAGGCUGACCUGCAGCUCUAGUUGCCUUAAAAGCUAAUAAAAAUGUGGAUGUAAGAAGCAGGAUUAAAAGCCUCCAGUGUACACCAGACAGUGGGACAUGGUGCAGGGAGCUGAGCUGCACAGAUCUGCAGCGCUACCUUGGAUCCCAAAGGCAGCAUGGGGGCAUUGCAUGGCUGGGUGCUCCUGGGACACUGUAAGACUGCCAAGGUUUGGUAGAACGCACUGGAGCAAUCAGUGACUUUCUUCCCACAGACAGUAUGAUCUCCUGGAGUCCUCAGUUGCUGGUGGAACAGGGAAUACAACUGCCCUUUCCUGGGAACAGGAAUGGGGCAAAGAUGUAAUUUUGUGACAUAUCUGGCCUCAGUUUUGUUGUAAAGUAUGGCAGUAAAUCCAACCCGAACUUGUAUUAACACAGUACAGCUGCCUGACAGGAGAAAGUGGAAAAAAUCCUACAAAGUAGGAAUACUGCAUCUGUUCACAGCCAAAUCUAUGACCGGCCUGUAAAAUAUGAUUCUUGCAAUAGUGCUUAGAAAGCUGAACAACAACUAGAGCAGCAUGCGUUAACAGAGUCAUGAUAAAUAGUUUACCAGCCUUUGGAGAACAAUGCAUCUGUCUGCCCAGGAAAUAAAAUCUUUGGAAAAUGCUGUUCUAUCACAAACUGUUCAUGCUUUAAUUAAGAAGUCCUCAUCAGGGAAGAAGAUAACUGUGAGAUAUGUGAGGGGAGGAACACACUUGAUCUAUAAUGAAAUCAACUCACAAAUGAGGUUGCCCACCCAUGUAUUACUGUGCACAUACAACAGGAAGAUGAGCAAAAUGCAGUGAGAUGAGGCCAAGUUUUUGUAGCUCUGCAAAUGAAUCAGUUGUCCUUUGGGUGGGAAGUGGGAUUGAAAGGGGAGGCAGUGUAGUUAUGUGCCAGAAAAAUGAGGGGAAACGUGUCCUCCUGCGCCCCUCUUUCUGUAAGAUACUUUAUGCUACCACUUCAUGACAAAGCACUCUGGGACAGACACCCAGGCACACAUGGACAAGAACAGCAUCCCUGUCAUUGCUUACUCCAUUACACUAGAGAUGGAGAUUUAAAUACAGAAAAACGAGCCUGCUCAGAAUAUCCUCAAUCUUGAAACCUAAAUGACUCAAGAUGCACUGCUACUGAUCAGAACAUUAGAUCAGUUGUCAGUAAAACUGUUGGGCAAUUGCACUAGGAUAAGAGUAAUUAGAGCACUGGGCUAUGACUGAGGAGACCUGGUUUUCAACUGCCACAGCCACAGCAUUCUGUGUGACCUGCAGAAUCACCUAGUGCCAGAACCAAAACAGGGCAGAUGCCUAAAGUGGACGUGGAAUUCCUUACUUCAGGUGCUGGUGGGAAGAAUAACCAAGAGUUUUACAUGUGAAACUAAGGUAGCUGUUGAAUUAUCAGUAUGUAAGAUGAGCUGCAGAGCUGGGAUCUGACGAGCACAGGCUUGGAGCCAUUUCCAGCAGAUAGCUUAUUCCACCUAUCAUUAGACUCCAUCUUAACACGGCGCCUUGUAAAGUAGUUUACCUAUCAUCGCGGCUGAUGCAAUGAAACGUAUAUAUGGCUCAAGUGGUGCUUCUGCAGCAGCAUCCUAUAGAUCACAAGCGAUGUGGGAACUGACCAAAGCCCCUUCCAACUCCUGCUGUUAAACGAGGUUAUGAAUUGAGCCCAUUGCAGAGGUACAUUGCUCCUAGAAGUCUCAGCUGCACAGAGAAUGGAAAACGGUUCAAUGUGAGAGAUGUUCUCAUGACCCCGAGUCAACAACGGCUUUAUCCAAAUCCCUCCGAGAAACAAGAAUGCUACAGGCAAUGUUUUAAAUAUUUAAUGUUUACACAACACUCAGAAUACCAAUGGCAACUCAAAGAGAAGGGAAUCCUGUGUUCACUGUGAGCCUCAGGGAGUUUCCUCUUCAUGUGCGUUUUUCAGCCUGACUGCCGCCUGCCUACACGAGCAGCAAACGGCUGCGUGCGGUGUGUGCCACGCGCUCGAAGCUGCGGUGUGCUUUGAUGAGCACCUUAUCAACGCGCCACGCGAAGGCUAGAGGACGUGCCCAAGGGCACGGGUGGACGUGGACCCAGCUGCUCAUCGCCACUCCCUGAGCCGCUUUCCUCCCUCAACACAAAGCUGCAGGCGGGCACCCAGCUCUCUGCGAGACGGGCUGAAGCGGCGAAUCCCACAAACUCGGUCCGCGCUGCGCCCUUUACCAGGAGCAAGAUGGCGGCGGGCAGCGCCCGAGGCUGGAAGGAGAACGCCUGGCUCUGAGGAACGGCCGCGACCGUUGGGCGAGGCCGCCACCUAGCGAGCGGCGGUGGAGGGAGCCGCGGAUCCGGCGGCGAGCGGGGGAAGGAGGAACGAGCCGUGCGCCCGAGCCGCUCCCGGCUGCUCUGGGGUUCCGGCGGGGAGGGCCCAGCACCGUGCUGUGGUUGUGCUCUGAAGGGCUCAUGGGUGAUCUGCUGAUGUCCAUUCAGUCAAGCGCUGUAGAGUUUCCCUCACACUGUGCCUGUCCUGAAGCCAUUUUCCUCUGCUUCAGGCUCCUUUUCCUCCAUGAUGGACCUACCCAAAGAAUAAUUGCAAACACCUGUCUCAGCUCUUGUUCCUAAAAGGGAAUUCAAAAGGGAA